rnacentral:misc_RNA from 1 species
GUGAAUCAUCAAAUCUUUGAACGCAAAUUGCACUUUCUGGUAUUCCGGAAAGUAUGCCUGUUUGAGGGUCGGUUAAAUAAAAAUCGGUGUUAUUGCUAUUAAUGUUAAUGCAUCGCGAGUGAGUCGUCUGUACCUUUGGUUUUAAGUAACUUAAAAUUAUGUACGAUUUCUGAACGUAUUUAAUUUAUUUACUUACUCUCAUGAUAUCACAUAGUAGAUGCGGUCAUGCACAUGAUUUCGCG